UAAUUUAGUGAUUUAAUUUUUCACUGAAAAUGUAAAUGGUGAAUCAUUCACCCUUUUUAGGAUUCCCAAAAUUAGGACAAAAAAACAGUAAGUUAUUCACCGCUUAUAAUUUUUUUUUUUUUAUAAUAAAAACAGUAAAUUAUUCACCAUUUUUUUCACUUUAGAUUAUUUAAGUUUUAGUUAAAUCACUUGAAAUCCUUAGAAUUUUAAAAUUAAACUCCAAAUUU
rnacentral:lncRNA from 1 species